rnacentral:rRNA from 1 species
AUUGAACGCUAGCGGCAGGCUUAACACAUGCAAGUCGAACGAGCGGCGGACGGGUGAGUAAUGUCUCGGAACCUGCCUGAUGGCGGGGGAUAACUACUCGAAACAGUAGCUAAUACCGCAUACUAUUGGAUGUGCCCAUAUGGGAUUAGCUAGUUGGUGGGGUAAAGGCUCACCUAGGCGACGAUCCCUAGCUGGUCUGAGAGGAUGACCAGCCACACUGGAACUGAGACACGGCCCAGACUCCUACGGGAGGCAGCAGUGGGGAAUAUUGGACAAUGGGCAAAAGCCUGAUGCAGCCAUGCCGCGUGUAUGAAGAAGGCCUUCGGGUUGUAAAGUACUUUCAGCAGGGAGGCGGUACCUGCAGAAGAAGCACCGGCUAACUACGUGCCAGCAGCCGCGGUAAUUC